GUUUGCUGAGCCUCCAAGUGUUAAAUGAAGAAACAAGUGACUGCAAGGAAGAAGCUAAGCUUCCCCCAACGACCAUGCCCACCAAGAAACCAUUCAGGAAAAGGAGCAAAUGGAAC